rnacentral:rRNA from 1 species
CAGCAGCCGCGGUAAUACAGAGGGUGCAAGCGUUAAUCGGAUUUACUGGGCGUAAAGGGCGCGUAGGUGGUUAUUUAAGUGAGAUGUGAAAGCCCCGGGCUUAACCUGGGAACUGCAUCUUAUACUGGGUAACUGGAGUGCAGUAGAGGGUAGUGGAAUUUCCGGUGUAGCGGUGAAAUGCGUAGAUAUUCGGAAGAACACCAGUGGCGAAGGCGGCUUACUGGCUCAUUCUAGACGCUGAGGUGCGAAAGCGUGGGGAGCAAACAGGAUUAGAUACCCCCGUAGUCCCUGUAUCUUAUAA